rnacentral:rRNA from 1 species
ACGCCGCGUGAGUGAUGACGGCCUUCGGGUUGUAAAGCUCUGUUAAUCGGGACGAAAGGCCUUCUUGCGAACAGUUAGAAGGAUUGACGGUACCGGAAUAGAAAGCCACGGCUAACUACGUGCCAGCAGCCGCGGUAAUACGUAGGUGGCAAGCGUUGUCCGGAAUUAUUGGGCGUAAAGCGCGCGCCGGCGGGUCAGUCAGUCUGUCUUAAAAGUUCGGGGCUUAACCCCGUGAUGGGAUGGAAACUGCUGAUCUAGAGUAUCGGAGAGGAAAGUGGAAUUCCUAGUGUAGCGGUGAAAUGCGUAGAUAUUAGGAAGAACACCAGUGGCGAAGGCGACUUUCUGGACGAAAACUGACGCUGAGGCGCGAAAGCCAGGGGAGCGAACGGGAUUAGAUACCCCGGUAGUCCUGGCCGUAAACGAUGGGUACUAGGUGUAGGAGGUAUCGACCCCUUCUGUGCCGGAGUUAACGCAAUAAGUACCCCGCCUGGGGAGUACGACCGCAAGGUUGAAACUCAAAGGAAUUGACGGGGGCCCGCACAAGCGGUGGAGUAUGUGGUUUAAUUCGACGCAC